rnacentral:rRNA from 1 species
GACGAACGCUGGCGGCGUGCUUAACACAUGCAAGUCGAGCGGUAAGGCCCUUUCGGGGGUACACGAGCGGCGAACGGGUGAGUAACACGUGGGUGACCUGCCCUCAGCUCUGGGAUAAGCCUGGGAAACCGGGUCUAAUACCGGAUAUGACUCCAUGACGCAUGUUGUGGGGUGGAAAGCCUUGUGCGGCUGAGGAUGGGCCCGCGGCCUAUCAGCUUGUUGGUGGGGUNAUGGCCCUACCAAGGCGACGACGGGUAGCCGGCCUGAGAGGGCGACCGGCCACACUGGGACUGAGACACGGCCCAGACUCCUACGGGAGGCAGCAGUGGGGAAUCUUGCGCAAUGGGCGAAGGCCUGACGCAGCGACGCCGCGUGAGGGAUGACGGCCU